rnacentral:rRNA from 1 species
AUUGAACGCUGGCGGCAGGCUUAACACAUGCAAGUCGAGCGGGGGAAGGUAGCUUGCUACCGGACCUAGCGGCGGACGAGUGAGUAAUGCUUAGGAAUCUGCCUAUUAGUGGGGGACAACAUCGCGAGAGGGAUGCUAAUACCGCAUACGUCCUACGGGAGACAGCAGGGUAUAUUCGGACCUUGCGCUCAUAGAUGACCCUAAGUCGGAUUAGUUAGUUGGCGGGGUAAAGGCCUACCAAGGGGAAGAUCUGUAGCGGGUCUGAGAGGCUGACCCGCCACACUGGGACGGAGACACGGCCCAGACUCCUACGGGAGGCAGCAGUGGGGAAUAUUGGACAAUGGGGGGAACCCUGAUCCGGCCACGCCGCGUGUGUGAAGAAGGCCUUAUGGUUGUAAAGCACUUUAAGCGAGGAGGAGGCUACUUUAGUUAAUACCUAGAGAUAGUGGACGUUACUCGCAGAAUAAGCACCGGCUAACUCUGUGCCAGCCGCCGCCGUAA